rnacentral:misc_RNA from 1 species
GAGGAAUAGGACCCAUUUUCCCUAUGAUCUCCUUAAAUGUGUAUUCCUCAGGAAGCAUAUCAAAUAAGUCAGCCCCUUUACAAAUCACAUCCUGAACCCUUUUGGGGUUCAAGUAAUGAGAGAAUCUCACCCGAUCAUAAUGACUGUAAGCUUUCAUCUUAAAUAUGAAGUCACUAAUGUAUCGGAAACAAAAGCUGCAAUGCCAACCUGAAUCUGACAAGAGGACAUCAGCCUGGCGAUAAUGAGCAUAUCUAGUUUUCCCUGUCCUGUAGUUAUGAACUGAAGCACGCCAGCUCUUGUUAUCUACAUAAUACUCAAAAGAGUACAAGUAAUUUCUCAGCUGAAGAUGAAGGAUGCCAUCACACCACCUCAAGAGAUUAAUUGUGUGAGCACUAGGGAUCUCAUCAACAUCAGACAUUAUCAACAAGUCAUCAUCUUCUAUACCUGCUAUUCUAAUAAGCUGGUCCAGGGCUACUCGCUGAUAUGCCUCUUCCACAAAGGGGUUUUCCCCUUUCCUAAAUCUCCCCCCAAUUGUUCCAUAAGUCAGACGGGACUCUACAAAUUUAAACUUAUCCCGAUUACGAGCAAAGAGCAAUGAUUUGGGUAGGCCAGUAAAUGUUGAGUUUGAUUCAAGAAGUACAAACUGGGUUAUGUAAGGAUACAGUUCCAUCCAUCGAAUUGUAAGAAUAUCUACUUCAUUA